rnacentral:rRNA from 1 species
UACAGAGGGUGCGAGCGUUGUCCGGAAUCACUGGGCGUAAAGAGCGUGUAGGCGGCCAGGUAGGUCUGCUGUGAAAACUCGAGGCUCAACCUCGAGACGUCGGCGGAAACCAUCUGGCUAGAGUCCGGAAGAGGAGAGUGGAAUUCUUGGUGUAGCGGUGAAAUGCGUAGAUAUCAAGAGGAACACCUGCGGCGAAGGCGGGUUGCUGGGCCGACACUGACGCUGAGGCGCGAAAGCCAGGGGAGCGAACGGG